GCCUGGGUGGCUUAGUCGGUUGAGCGUCUGACUUCGGCUCAGGUCAGGAUCUCGCGGUCCGUGGGUUCGAGCCCCGCGUCGGGCU
rfam:Felis catus isolate Cinnamon breed Abyssinian chromosome E1, whole genome shotgun sequence.